AUUGAACGCUGGCGGAAGGUCUAACACAUGCAAGUCGAACGAGUGGCGGACGGGUGAGUAAUGUCUGGGAAACUGCCCGAUGGAGGGGGAUAACUACUGGAAAAGGUAGCUAAUACCGCAUACCAUCGGAUGUGCCGAGAUGGGAUUAGCUUGGAGGUGAGGUGACGGCUCACCUAGGCGACGAUCCUUAGCUGGUCUGAGAGGAGGACCAGCCACACUGGAACUGAGACACGCUCCAGCCUCCUACGGGAGGCAGCAUUGGGAAAUAUUGCACAAGGUGCGCAAGCCUGAUGCAGUCAUGCCGCGUGUAUGAAGAAGGCCUUCGUGUUGUAAAGUACUUUCAGCGGGGAGGCGUUACCCGCAGAAGAAGCACCGGCUAACUCCGUGCCAGCAGCCGCGGUAAUAC
rnacentral:rRNA from 1 species